rnacentral:rRNA from 5 species
AUAGGGGAGCCGGAGGGAAACCGAGUCUUAAUUGGGCGUUAAGUUGCAGGGUAUAGACCCGAAACCCGGUGAUCUAGCCAUGGGCAGGUUGAAGGUUGGGUAACACUAACUGGAGGACCGAACCGACUAAUGUUGAAAAAUUAGCGGAUGACCUGUGGCUGGGGGUGAAAGGCCAAUCAAACCGGGAGAUAGCUGGUUCUCCCCGAAAGCUAUUUAGGUAGCGCCUCGUGAAUUCAUCUCCGGGGGUAGAGCACUGUUUCGGCUAGGGGGCCAUCCCGGCUUACCAACCCGAUGCAAACUGCGAAUACCGGAGAAUGUUAUCACGGGAGACACACGGCGGGUGCUAACGUCCGUCGUGAAGAGGGAAACAACCCAGACCGCCAGCUAAGGUCCCAAAGUCAUGGUUAAGUGGGAAACGAUGUGGGAAGGCCCAGACAGCCAGGAUGUUGGCUUAGAAGCAGCCAUCAUUUAAAGAAAGCGUAAUAGCUCACUGGUCGAGUCGGCCUGCGCGGAAGAUGUAACGGGGCUAAACCAUGCACCGAAGCUGCGGCAGCGAACGUAUCACCCAAGACAACUUUACGGAGUUGACGAUUGACGGAGCGAAGCGACGUCAAAGCGUUCAUUAAAGUCGAGUUGGCUUAGGGAUACGUUCGUUGGGUAGGGGAGCGUUCUGUAAGCCUGUGAAGGUGUGUCGUGAGGCAUGCUGGAGGUAUCAGAAGUGCGAAUGCUGACAUAAGUAACGAUAAAGCGGGUGAAAAGCCCGCUCGCCGGAAGACCAAGGGUUCCUGUCCAACGUUAAUCGGGGCAGGGUGAGUCGACCCCUAAGGCGAGGCCGAAAGGCGUAGUCGAUGGGAAACGGGUUAAUAUUCCCGUACUUGGUGUUACUGCGAAGGGGGGACGGAGAAGGCUAUGUUGGCCGGGCGACGGUUGUCCCGGUUUAAGCGUGUAGGUGUGUGUUCCAGGUAAAUCCGGUUCACUUUAACACUGAGGCGUGACGACGAGGCACUACGGUGCUGAAGCAACAAAUGCCCUGCUUCCAGGAAAAGCCUCUAAGCAUCAGGUAACACGAAAUCGUACCCCAAACCGACACAGGUGGUCAGGUAGAGAAUACCAAGGCGCUUGAGAGAACUCGGGUGAAGGAACUAGGCAAAAUGGUGCCGUAACUUCGGGAGAAGGCACGCUGACACGUAGGUGAAGUGAUUUACUCAUGGAGCUGAAGUCAGUCGAAGAUACCAGCUGGCUGCAACUGUUUAUUAAAAACACAGCACUGUGCAAACACGAAAGUGGACGUAUACGGUGUGACGCCUGCCCGGUGCCGGAAGGUUAAUUGAUGGGGUCAGCGUAAGCGAAGCUCCUGAUCGAAGCCCCGGUAAACGGCGGCCGUAACUAUAACGGUCCUAAGGUAGCGAAAUUCCUUGUCGGGUAAGUUCCGACCUGCACGAAUGGCGUAAUGAUGGCCAGGCUGUCUCCACCCGAGACUCAGUGAAAUUGAACUCGCUGUGAAGAUGCAGUGUACCCGCGGCAAGACGGAAAGACCCCGUGAACCUUUACUAUAGCUUGACACUGAACAUUGAGCCUUGAUGUGUAGGAUAGGUGGGAGGCUUUGAAGUGUGGACGCCAGUCUGCAUGGAGCCGACCUUGAAAUACCACCCUUUAAUGUUUGAUGUUCUAACGUGGACCCGUAAUCCGGGUUGCGGACAGUGUCUGGUGGGUAGUUUGACUGGGGCGGUCUCCUCCUAAAGAGUAACGGAGGAGCACGAAGGUUGGCUAAUCCUGGUCGGACAUCAGGAGGUUAGUGCAAUGGCAUAAGCCAGCUUGACUGCGAGCGUGACGGCGCGAGCAGGUGCGAAAGCAGGUCAUAGUGAUCCGGUGGUUCUGAAUGGAAGGGCCAUCGCUCAACGGAUAAAAGGUACUCCGGGGAUAACAGGCUGAUACCGCCCAAGAGUUCAUAUCGACGGCGGUGUUUGGCACCUCGAUGUCGGCUCAUCACAUCCUGGGGCUGAAGUAGGUCCCAAGGGUAUGGCUGUUCGCCAUUUAAAGUGGUACGCGAGCUGGGUUUAGAACGUCGUGAGACAGUUCGGUCCCUAUCUGCCGUGGGCGCUGGAGAACUGAGGGGGGCUGCUCCUAGUACGAGAGGACCGGAGUGGACGCAUCACUGGUGUUCGGGUUGUCAUGCCAAUGGCACUGCCCGGUAGCUAAAUGCGGAAGAGAUAAGUGCUGAAAGCAUCUAAGCACGAAACUUGCCCCGAGAUGAGUUCUCCCUGAGACUUAGAGUCUCCUGAAGGAACGUUGAAGACGACGACGUUGAUAGGCCGGGUGUGUAAGCGCAGCGAUGCGUUGAGCUAACCGGUACUAAUGAACCGUGAGGCUUAACCUUACAACGCCGAAG